rnacentral:rRNA from 1 species
CAGCCGCCGCGGUAAUACGAAGGGGGCUAGCGUUGUUCGGAAUUACUGGGCGUAAAGCGUACGUAGGCGGAUAUUUAAGUCAGGGGUGAAAUCCCAGAGCUCAACUCUGGAACUGCCUUUGAUACUGGGUAUCUUGAGUAUGGAAGAGGUGAGUGGAAUUCCGAGUGUAGAGGUGAAAUUCGUAGAUAUUCGGAGGAACACCAGUGGCGAAGGCGGCUCACUGGUCCAUUACUGACGCUGAGGUGCGAAAGCGUGGGGAGCAAACAGGAUUAGAGACCCCUGUAGUCCCUGUCUCUUAUAC